GACGAACCGUGCAAACGUUAUUCGGAAUCACUGGGCUUAAAGGGCGCGUAGGCGGGCGGUCAAGUCAGGGGUGAAAGCCCCCAGCUCAACUGGGGAAGUGCCUUUGAUACUGGCCAUCUUGAGGGAGGUAGGGGCGUGCGGAACUUCCGGUGGAGCGGUGAAAUGCGUAGAUAUCGGAAGGAACACCGGUGGCGAAGGCGGAUCUCUGGGCCAUUACUGACGCUGAGGAGCGAAAGCGUGGGGAGCGAACAGG
rnacentral:rRNA from 1 species